rnacentral:Y_RNA from 1 species
GGCUGGUCCGAUGGUAGUUGAUUAUCAGAACUUAUUAACAUUAGUGUCACUAAAGUUGGUAUUCAACCCCCCGCUGCUAAAUUUGACUGGCUUUAA